rnacentral:misc_RNA from 1 species
GAUGAAGAACGCAGCGAAAUGCGAUAAGUAGUGUGAAUUGCAGAAUUCAGUGAUUCAUCGAAUCUUUGAACGCACAUUGCGCCCUUUGGUAUUCCUUAGGGCAUGCCUGUUCGAGCGUCAUUUAAACCUUCAAGCUCAGCUUGGUGUUGGGUGACUGUCCGCUUCACCGCGGACUCGCCUCAAAAUUAUUGGCGGCCGGUACAUUGGCUCUCGAGCGCAGCAGAAACGCGUAACUCGAGGUCCUCGUGCUGGCUCCCAGAAGCUAUCUUCACAAUUUUGACCUCGGAUCAGGUAGGGAUACCCGCUGAACUUAAGCAUAUCAAUAAGCGGAGGA